GUACUGGAAGCAUCACACUAUUUGGCAGAAUGAGUAAGACCACACUCCACAGUGGACUAUACCACUUAGUAUGGCUCAUUACUAUAUUGUGGCCUACAUU
ensembl:snoRNA LOC120102009 small nucleolar RNA SNORA4